AGAAACAGGCAGCCUGACUAGAGAACAAACUACCAAUUAACGAGCGAGGAAACAGGGCCAGAGAAUUGGAACAAAAUACAAGGCUGCCUCUGAAAGGAAUAUCUUUGUGCUGAUGUGUCCAUCAAGAGAACAUACACAGAAGUGACACUUGCCAGUAAUUUGCAAGCAGAUGGAACUUCAAUAUGGCAAUAGAGAAAGAAUCAAUUAGACCAGAGUCUCCUCAGGAAGACUUUCUAUAGAUAUCUGGUGAGCAUCUGCUAGAUGCCAGGGUUGGGGAGAGUCAAGUUGAAGCAAGCAUGAACCCUCAAGGACCUACCAUUUCAAGGCAAGAAAUAGAUACAAAUACAGCGUAAUUAUCUCUCCAAUUAAAGAGCAACCAAGGGACAACUGAACUGGAGGUUCUGCAGAAUUACAACUAAGCACGCAGCCGAGGAAUCUACUCAGCUUUGAUCUCUUAUCGCUCUGCACACACAGCCCUUUCUCUGUAAGGCUAGCUGCUCUCAGCAUCACUGUGUCUAAUCAAACGUGUCACACCUCCACUGAGAAAAUAUUUACUGGAUAGCUACUAGACAUAAGGAUGCAGAAAUGAAUUAGAAAAAUUCCUCGCCCUUGUUCAAAGCUAUGCUGGCUCUUAGAACAUCUGAGCCCCCACUGUUUCAUCUUUAGAGGAUCCCAGCUGCUGGGGUGUGAGGCCAGUGCUGGAGCCAGCAGUCUCUGACCCAGAAGGGACCUGAGGUGCUAAAGAAAAGGGUACAAGCUGGAAAAGGGGAAAAUGAAUCAUGCUACAGGCCAAGUGUCCAUCACUGAUUCCCAGAGAUGCCCUUUGUGUGGUAGGCACUUCCAUGUGGACUCGCUACAGAGGUCAUAAGACCCUAAUUCCAGAGGGCCCUACCCUAUAACCAGAAGGAAGAACUAUUGCACAGAGAAUCUAAGAAGAAUCUAGACAGACAGCCCUUGCUGGAUUUCUCCACUCUGUUAGCAUUCGAUCAUUUGCCUUUUGUCCAGUCAUAUUUCUGCAUGGCUGUCCAUACUUUGUUGAACCUAAGCACAAAAUGGAAAGUUUUCCCUGUAUCUUUGGGUCGUCAUUCUGAAGGCUCCCAUGUUAUGUAAAACUAUGAUCAAAUAAAUAUGCAUGCCUUUUCUCCUAUAA
rnacentral:lncRNA from 1 species